UAAAACGUCUAAAAUGGCCAUAAUAAUGGUUGCUUGAACUUGUGAAGGGAAACACUUCAGGAUAAACUCCUCGGGUUUCUUCAGAAAUUCCUCCUUUUCGGUGUCGUUUGGAUCUUCUGUAGGCAUAUUCGUUCUAGUAAUGGUAGGCCGGUUUGGAAAAUAUCCUGCAAAAUCGUAUUGACCAAAGUUUACAGCAGCAUGGUGUCCUGAAGCUACCCAAAUAAUGGUUGUGAGGAUUCCUAUUAGAUCACCCGGAGUUUCUAACACCGGCCACCAGGACUCGUCCUUCUUGUCUGCAUGGCCUUUUGUUCGAAUUUCAGUCCACCAUUCUUGGAGUUCAACGUCAGAUUGUACAAGGUUUGCUUCUGGAUAGUAGUAAGUGACAUAGUCUGUAACCCAUUUCUUAAUGGCAUCCCAAAUAA
rnacentral:lncRNA from 1 species